AGCUUUACACACUACCAGAACCACAGCCAGUGAGGUUUAUCUGAGGUGUGAUUAUUGCCAACUGAAAACUCUUCCUAGCAUGACUGACCCGCUCACUUGGGGGAGCAUGUGACUCUUGAUCUCCAGGUUGUGAGUUUGAGCCCUGCACUGG
rnacentral:snRNA from 1 species